GCCAGACUCCUACGGGAGGCAGCAGUGGGGAGUAUUGCACAAUGGGGGAAACCCUGAUGCAGCGACGCCGCGUGAGUGAAGAAGUCAUUCGUGAUGUAAAGCUCUAUCAGCAGGGAAGAAAAUGACGGUACCUGACCAAGAAGCCCCGGCUAACUACGUGCCAGCAGCCGCGGUAAUACGUAGGGGGCAAGCGUUAUCCGGAUUUACUGGGUGUAAAGGGAGCGUAGGCGGCGAUGCAAGUCAGAAGUGAAAGCCCGGGGCUCAACUCCGGGACUGCUUUUGAAACUGUAUGGCUAGAUUGCAGGAGGGGCAAGUGGAAUUCCUAGUGUAGCGGUGAAAUGCGUAGAUAUUAGGAGGAACACCAGUGGCGAAGGCGGCUUGCUGGACUGUAAAUGACGCUGAGGCUCGAAAGCGUGGGGAGCAAACAGGAUUAGAUACCCCGGUAC
rnacentral:rRNA from 1 species